rnacentral:lncRNA from 1 species
AGACUGGUUAUUUAUCCAGGAGGGUAACAUCUUUUAUGACCAAUAGGUAUUUUUAGAAGAAAGACAGAAUGUUCCUUCAACAAAGCUUGCAGAAUCUUUUCCAGUAGAACUAUGCCUGUUUGAUGGAAAAAAAAUUUCCAGAGGAAUGUUCGUUCUGUCAUAGAUAUCAACAGAAAAUCAACAGGGAGCUUCUCCAAAGCCUUUUCCACAGACUGCCUCGGGCCUCAUCUCCUUGGCGUUUGAGGUGUGGUUUCUGAGAGUGCUUUAUUGUCCAUCCUGCUGGCUCCCUGGUGGGAAAGGCCAUCUGCAGCCUAAAGAAUUAACAAUCUCCUUGGACUGUAGCAACCAUGGAAGUUAUAUCAGCUAGCUCUGGUUGCCAUCUGAAUCAGCUGGGAGCUCUCCUGGACGUGCCGGUAAAAGAUGGUAGAAUCAAACAAUGACUUGACAGCAGGAAGACUUAAACUUCUUGAGGACAUUGAAAUCCUUGAGAAAGGAUCAAAUCCAAUUAGACUAUAAAUAUGGAUUUCAUUGGUUAAAGAAAACAUAUGCUCCAAAUUUAGAUCCUUUUCCCUGAAGAGCUGGGAAGAGGUCUGUAGUAUGAAAACCUAUGUACAUCUAGCUGUUCGACAGCUGUGUGUGUAGGAUGGCAGCCACAGAGCCAGAACAUCCUUGCAGUGACCAGCCCAUGGUACUCACACAGUAACAGGCUGCUGCACUGGAAUCUGCCAGUUUCUACAAGUCUGGUGUGGAAGAAGUAAUCCCAUGAUUUACAUUAGUCAGGCAAGCUUGCUGCCCUGCUGGAACUUUAUUGGGAAAGGACCUGACACCUGAGCAUCCUCAGGCAGUUUGUAAUUAGAAAUGCCCCAUAAAUAUGCAGCAAAACUUUGUUGAUACGUGUUUUAAUGUAUAUAUGUUUUUGGAUUUACACAUAGAAAAAUAUAUGCUGAAUGCAUUGUGUUAUAUUUCAGGCAGAUAUGCUGCAAG